rnacentral:lncRNA from 1 species
AUAGCAACAGCAGCGUAGCUGAACAUCUUACGGAUGGCCCAGGGCUCCAAAGGCUCGUUUCCUAAGUGAGAGAGAGCCUGGCUGAAGCUGUAUUACCAUUCAUUCUCCAGCCUCCGAAGUCUCAAAGCAUCACUUCCACCAUACUCUAACUGUCAAGACAAACACAAAGGCCCAGAAACUGCCAGACUGUCUUCUGAAGUGGCUAUAAUAUUUACACUCCCAUCAGCAGUGUAGAAGGGGUCUCACUAUGUUGUCUGGAGUGCUGUGGUGGAGUGGAGUGGCUAUUCACAGAGCCUGUUCUGCUGGGACACAGAAUCACUUGCUCCAUCUCAUACAUUGAUGAUGAUUAAUUUGUAUGUGUACCUUCCAAAAAAGAUGGUUGUGUUUGAAUGGAGGCCUUCUGGACAGGAAAAUAAUCACAUCCUUCCUGAGAUAAUGAGCACACAAUUGCCUGGAUACCUGAAGGAAUGGAGACAGCGGCAGAAAACACUGCAGAGAGGUGGAAACAUCCGUUAAUAUUUUAAAAUCCCAUUACUGCUACCAACAAUAAUAAUGGAUGCAUAGAAAUAGAUCUGGAUUAGCUGAGCUUGAAACAGUCCAUCUCACACACACACAAAAGAAUUUCAGAUACAGUGAACCCACAUGUUGAAGCUUUCUAGUAUAAUAAAAAUUUCAACUGUUCUGUUGAAUCAUCUGCCUGAUUGGAGGCUACAGAAAAGAUGUCAUCUUAGGAGUGCUUGCUCUGAGUGAGGCUCAUCUUCAAAUCUGAAUGACCACAAGGAGAUUUGAUUAUACAUGUGAACACCUCAGAAGGCACAGCCCACCCAGAAGGCAGACAGAAGAAGCUGCCAGGAAGACUGUGAAAUCUUCAUGCCCAAGGAUCCCUAAAAUUAGGAGCAACAACCACUUGGCUCAGACGGUUUAUGGAGGCAAAGGUUUGGAUGGGAUUAGAGAUUUCUAAAUGUGAGUUCGUGUCCUCUGCCAGACCACCUUACUUCCACCAUUCCUCAGCAAAUCAAGAAAAACAGGAGAAAAGACAUGCCUUUCCAUAAGUUAAAUCUAUUCUGUUUUAAUUCUAUAUUAUAUCUGCUGUACAACUUCUUUUGUUUGUAACACCAUAUUGUUGCUAGUAACUGGAAAUUAAUUUUCACAUGCCUCAGCUUAGAAAAAUAAAAAGCAGCCCUGCAUCAAUCCCAA